rnacentral:lncRNA from 1 species
GGACACCUUACUCUGAGCUCUGAUGGGCAAAUUUUGUUUUUGGGUGAGCCUGAAAGGUGAAGCUAAUGGGGCUUAUGCUUGGCCUACUGAUCCCAGAGGAGAGAAUCAUAGAGAAUUGUGGAAUUGGAGAGCUGCAAAUAGCCUGCCCUCAUUUGUAAGUCAUCCAUGUCCUGCUCAUUGACUUACAGGAAAAAAAUGCACCCUCAAAUAGCAGGUGGGGUUGGAAUUAGGAGGAAGUGGUUGGAGACUGCACCAAAGAGCAGGGGGCCAACCAUGGUCCACACAAGGAGAUGUGGAAGUGUUUCAUUCUACCCAAUGUUCUUGUGGAGUUAGUUGUUACUUAGCUAAAAAG